CAGUAGCCGCGGUAAUACGUAGGGUGCGAGCGUUAAUCGGAAUUACUGAGCGUAAAGCGUGCGCAGGCGGUUUUGUAAGACAGGCGUGAAAUCCCCGGGCUCAACCUGGGAAUGGCGCUUGUGACUGCAAAGCUAGAGUGCGGCAGAGGGGGAUGGAAUUCCGCGUGUAGCAGUGAAAUGCGUAGAUAUGCGGAGGAACACCGAUGGCGAAGGCAAUCCCCUGGGCCUGCACUGACGCUCAUGCACGAAAGCGUGGGGAGCAAACAGGAUUAGAUACCCGCGUAGUCCCUGUCUCUUAUAC
rnacentral:rRNA from 1 species